GCUUGGCCCUAAACAUAGACAACAAAAAUACAAUGUUGUCCGCCAGAGAACUACAAGCGAAAAACUCAAAACUCUAAGGACUUGGCGGUGCUCCACACCAGCCUAGAGGAGCCUGUCCUAUAAUCGAUACCCCACGUUAAACCUUACCACCUUUGGCCCCUCAGCCUAUAUACCGCCGUCGCCAGCAUACCUUGUGAAAGAAACAGCAGUAUGCACAAUAGUUAUUAACUAACACGUCAGGUCAAGGUGUAGCACAUGAGGUGGAAGAGAUGGGCUACAUUUUCUACCACAGAACAGACGAAAGACGCAAUGAAACAUGCACCUGAAGGCGGAUUUAGCAGUAAGACAAACAAGAAAUGCUAUCUUAAACUCGCUCUGGAGCGCGCACACACCGCCCGUCA
rnacentral:rRNA from 1 species